GGGCGAUUAGCUCAGCUGGUAGAGCAUCCGGUUUACAUCCGGAAGGUCGGCGGUUCGAUCCCGUCAUCGCCCACCA
rnacentral:tRNA from 1 species